GUAGUUUAUGAUCUAUGCACCUUCUGUCGUAAAUAUAAAAAAAUGCAAGUAUGGCGUACCAUUUAAGAAACACUGGUCUAUAUGAUUGUCAGUCAGGUUAUUCUUCAGCCACACAACUACACCAUUGAUUAUGUUUUGUUUAUUUAAGAAUAAGCGGUUUGCUAACAGUCGUGCGUUAUGUCAUUUCGUUUACGGAAGUUUUUACAAAAUGGUUUCCGAAUCCAGUUAACUUGUAUACAGUAUAGACUAAGCCCUAUUCGUACUGUGCCGUUAGAGGUGAAAUUCGUGGAUCGGCGCAAGACGAACGACUGCGAAAGCAUUUGCCAAGAAUAUUUAUUUUAAUCAA
rnacentral:ncRNA from 1 species